rnacentral:rRNA from 1 species
GACGAACGCUGGCGGCGUGCUUAAUACAUGCAAGUCGAACGGACAGGCCCUGCUUUUGUUCGUUUCUCGAUAGGCGAACGGGUGAGUAACACGCGUGUAUCCCCUCCUUGACUUUCGGAUAUCUUCUGGAAACUCCGGCUAUUACCGGAUAUGAGCUCCUGCUGCAUGUUGUGCGUCGGAGAGUUUCGGCGGUUGUGUCUGGACUCGCUGCUUAUCCGCUGGUUUGUGGGGUAGUGGCUUACCAAGGCUUUGACGGGUAGCCGGCCUGAGAGGGUGACCGGCCACAUUGGGACUGAGAGACGGACCAGACUCCUACGGGAGGCAGCAGUGGGGAAUAUUGCACAAUGGGCGGAAGCCUGAGGCAGAAACGCCGCGUGCGGGAUGACGGCCUUCGGGUUGUAAACAGCUUUCGACUGUGACGAAGCGGGAGUGACGGUAAUGGGUAAAGAAGCAACGGCUAACUACGUG